GACGUAGGUGGCGAACGUUAUCCGGAAUCAUUGGGCGUAAAGGGUGCGUAGAUGGCAUGAUAAGUUAUUAGUGGGAAAUCGAGGCUCAACCUCGUGGAAGCUGGUAAUACUGUUUUGCUUGAGUGCAGGAGAGGUUAACGGAACUCCAUGUGGAGCGGUAAAAUGCGUAGAUAUAUGGAAGAACAUCAAUAACGGCGAAGGCAGUUAACUAUUCUGCUACUGACAUUGAGGCACGAAAGCGUGGGGAGCAAAACGG
rnacentral:rRNA from 1 species